rnacentral:snRNA from 1 species
AUCGCUUCUUGGCCUUUUAGCUAAGAUCAAGUGUAGUGUAGAGUUUAUGCUUAUUGUUUCUGUCUCUAAACCAAUUUAUAGAGGGUUUGCAGAGCUUUGCAGCUCUUUCAUUGAUGACAGUAAAACUUCUAAAGAU